rnacentral:rRNA from 1 species
AACGAACGCUGGCGGCAGGCCUAACACAUGCAAGUCGAGCGCGCCCUCCGGGGUGACCGGCGGACGGGUGAGUCACGCGUGGGAACGUGCCCUUCUCUACGGGAUAGCCUCGGGACACUGAGAGUAAUACCGCAUACGUCCCUUGGGUGAAAGAUUUGUCGUAGAAGGAUGGGCCCGCGUUGGAUUAGGUAGUUGGUGGGGUAAUGGCCCACGAGGCCGACGAUCCAUAGCUGGUUUGAGAGGAUGAGCAGCGACACUGGGACUGAGCCACGGCGCAGACUCUUGCGGGAUGGAGGCGAGGGGGAUCUUAGAAAACGGGGGGAAUCCUGAUGGAGCCAUGGCGGGUGAGUGAUGAAGUCCGGAGAGAUGUAAAGCUCGUUCAGCUGGGAAGGUAAUGACGGUACCAACAGAAGAAGCACCGGCUAACUUCGUG